AAACAAGGGAAUUUGGAAAUCUGAUAAGAAAACUGUCAUCGCAGUGCUCUUUCUAAGUAGAAGUGCUCAGAAGUUGAAUAGCCUGUUGUUUCACCAAUACCAGUGUCAGGCUCACUGGGCUGCCCCUUCCUCCCUCGUGAAUGAACUUCAGAUGAUGUUUGCUCUUUUCCAGCACUGCUGCAUCACUGCAUCAUUUUCUCUGCCUCCUGACACAACAGGCCUUAGAAAAACCCUUCUUUGUGAUCUGGCCCCCAGUGCUCCUUGCCAGCCCUGCUUUGGAGAUUCCACAGAAAAUUCACUACAGCCAGAAAUUAAAAUACCAGUCCGUACACAA